rnacentral:sRNA from 1 species
UCUUUUUUUAGUCCUUUUCAGGUCUUUACAUGUUUGGGAUGCAUUUGGAGAUUAUGGAGCAUGCUAGAGAUCAACAGACAACUUAAGCUGCAGAAACAUUCCGGAGACGAAAAUGCACGUAGGUGUCGAACGACAC